GACGAACGCGGGCGGCGUGCCUAAUACAUGCAAGUAGAACGCUGAAGAGAGGAGCUUGCUCUUCUUGGAAGAGUUGCGAACGGGUGAGUAACGCGUAGGUAACCUGCCUUGUAGCGGGGGAUAACUAUUGGAAACGAUAGCUAAUACCGCAUAACAAUGGGUGACCCAUGUCAUUCAUUUAAAAGGGGCAACUGCUCCACUACAAGAUGGACCUGCGUUGUAUUAGCUAGUAGGUGAGGUAACGGCUCACCUAGGCGACGAUACAUAGCCGACCUGAGAGGGUGAUCGGCCACACUGGGACUGAGACACGGCCCAGACUCCUACGGGAGGCAGCAGUAGGGAAUCUUCGGCAAUGGGGGCAACCCUGACCGAGCAACGCCGCGUGAGUGAAGAAGGUUUUCGGAUCGUAAAGCUCUGUUGUAAGUCAAGAACGAGUGUGAGAGUGGAAAGUUCACACUGUGACGGUAGCUUACCAGAAAGGGACGGCUAACUACGUGCCAGCAGCCGCGGUAAUACGUAGGUCCCGAGCGUUGUCCGGAUUUAUUGGGCGUAAAGCGAGCGCAGGCGGUUUGAUAAGUCUGAAGUUAAAGGCUGUGGCUCAACCAUAGUUUGCUUUGGAAACUGUCAAACUUGAGUGCAGAAGGGGAGAGUGGAAUUCCAUGUGUAGCGGUGAAAUGCGUAGAUAUAUGGAGGAACACCGGUGGCGAAAGCGGCUCUCUGGUCUGUAACUGACGCUGAGGCUCGAAAGCGUGGGGAGCGAACAGG
rnacentral:rRNA from 1 species